UCAAGAGUUGAYGGAAUUUGAAGUUGUUUCUGACGCCUCCAUGAAAGGACUUAGUGCUGAAGUUGAUGUUUUAAAAAAAGAAUUGGAAAAUAUUACUCAGUGCAGGCGGCUGAUCAAA